ensembl:snoRNA small nucleolar RNA SNORA3/SNORA45 family
AGCGAGGCUAGAGUCACACCUGGAUAUGAUUGGUUGUCCUGGUGUGCUAUAGCGCUCGCAGAGAAACCUCAGAGUUUAUUCAUUGGCUGUCGUCUCCUCGUGGGCCGGCCAAUCACCGACUCUGAUACACUG